ACAGGGAUUGCCCUAGUAACGGCGAGUGAAGCGGCAACAGCUCAAAUUUGAAAUCUGGCUCUUUUAGAGUCCGAGUUGUAAUUUGCAGAGGGCGCUUUGGCUUUGGCAGCGGUCCAAGUUCCUUGGAACAGGACGUCACAGAGGGUGAGAAUCCCGUACGUGGUCGCUGGCUAUUGCCGUGUAAAGCCCCUUCGACGAGUCGAGUUGUUUGGGAAUGCAGCUCUAAAUGGGAGGUACAUUUCUUCUAAAGCUAAAUAUUGGCCAGAGACCGAUAGCGCACAAGUAGAGUGAUCGAAAGAUGAAAAGCACUUUGGAAAGAGAGUCAAACAGCACGUGAAAUUGUUGAAAGGGAAGCGCUUGCAGCCAGACUUGCUUGCAGUUGCUCAUCCGGGUUUUUACCCGGUGCACUCUUCUGUAGGCAGGCCAGCAUCAGUUUGGGCGGUAGGAUAAAGGUCUCUGUCACGUACCUCCUUUCGGGGAGGCCUUAUAGGGGAGACGACAUACUACCAGCCUGGACUGAGGUCCGCGCAUCUGCUAGGAUGCUGGCGUAAUGGCUGUAAGCGGCCCGUCUUGAAACACGGACCAAGGAGUCUAACAUCUAUGCGAGUGUUUGGGUGUCAAGCCCGAGCGCGUAAUGAAAGUGAACGGAGGUGGGAACCCGCAAGGGUGCACCAUCGACCGAUCCUGAUGUCUUCGGAAGGAUUUGAGUAAGAGCAUGGCUGUUGGGACCCGAAAGAUGGUGAACUAUGCUUGAAUAGGGUGAAGCCAGAGGAAACUCUGGUGGAGGCUCGCAGCGGUUCUGACGUGCAAAUCGAUCGUCAAAUUUGGGCAUAGGGGCGAAAGACUAAUCGAACUAUCUAGUAGCUGGUUCCUGCCGAAGUU
rnacentral:rRNA from 1 species